GGGUUGGAUGGGGCAGGCUACACAUGCAAGUCGAACGGUAGCACAGAGAGCUUGCUCUCGGGUGACGAGUGGCGGACGGGUGAGUAAUGUCUGGGAAACUGCCUGAUGGAGGGGGAUAACUACUGGAAACGGUAGCUAAUACCGCAUAACGUCGCAAGACCAAAGAGGGGGACCUUCGGGCCUCUUGCCAUCAGAUGUGCCCAGAUGGGAUUAGCUAGUAGGCGGGGUAACGGCCCACCUAGGCGACGAUCCCUAGCUGGUCUGAGAGGAUGACCAGCCACACUGGAACUGAGACACGGUCCAGACUCCUACGGGAGGCAGCAGUGGGGAAUAUUGCACAAUGGGCGCAAGCCUGAUGCAGCCAUGCCGCGUGUGUGAAGAAGGCCUUCGGGUUGUAAAGCACUUUCAGCGGGGAGGAAGGCGGUACGGUUAAUAACCGUGCCGAUUGACGUUACCCGCAGAAGAAGCACCGGCUAACUCCGUGCCAGCAGCCGCGGUAAUACGGAGGGUGCAAGCGUUAAUCGGAAUUACUGGGCGUAAAGCGCACGCAGGCGGUCUGUCAAGUCGGAUGUGAAAUCCCCGGGCUCAACCUGGGAACUGCAUUCGAAACUGGCAGGCUGGAGUCUCGUAGAGGGAGGUAGAAUUCCAGGUGUAGCGGUGAAAUGCGUAGAGAUCUGGAGGAAUACCGGUGGCGAAGGCGGCCUCCUGGACGAAGACUGACGCUCAGGUGCGAAAGCGUGGGGAGCAAACAGGAUUAGAUACCCUGGUAGUCCACGCCGUAAACGAUGUCGAUUUGGAGGUUGUGCCCUUGAGGCGUGGCUUCCGGAGCUAACGCGUUAAAUCGACCGCCUGGGGAGUACGGCCGCAAGGUUAAAACUCAAAUGAAUUGACGGGGGCCCGCACAAGCGGUGGAGCAUGUGGUUUAAUUCGAUGCAACGCGAAGAACCUUACCUGGUCUUGACAUCCACAGAACCUGGCAGAGAUGCCGGGGUGCCUUCGGGAACUGUGAGACAGGUGCUGCAUGGCUGUCGUCAGCUCGUGUUGUGAAAUGUUGGGUUAAGUCCCGCAACCAAGCGCAACCCUUAUCCUUUGUUGCCAGCGGUCCGGGCCGGGAACUCAAAGGAAACUGCCAGUGAUAAACGGGAGGAAGGGGGGGAUGACCUCAAGUUAUUAUUGGCCUUUACGACCAGGGGUUAACCCCUUUGUUAAAAUGGGCCUUUCAAAA
rnacentral:rRNA from 1 species